AUGCAAUCCAAAGAUUCCAUCCCUGGAAUAUGAAGCUACGAAGUUGCUGGCGUUCCUUGAGCGCUCCGAUCCAGACAAAUCUACUUUUGCAUUCAAAAUUUUGAGUAUAAUUUCUUUUUAAUUCUAUGAACUUGGCUCUCUGUUCCCCUCGCGUUCAUUGAAGAGCUCGUCCUAUCUUUCUUUCUUGUUUUCGAUUUUCGAUCCUCUCCAACUUUGAUCGUCUGGUUCCAGAAGGACGAUAUUCCCUUUUUGAACUUCAGCCCCCCGCUGCGUGUUUGAUUUUGGAGAAUAUCUAAAAGCUUCUGUUAAAAGAGCGGAAGAGAAAGUGAAAGCGUAUCUCAGCUCACUUGUUGAUAUUUCAUAGAAUCCCAGUCAGCUUUCUGAGAUUCUCGGGGUUGUUGACAUGGCGCCAGAUUAAAUUCUUGAUAGCUACUUUCUGGUGGUUCAUUUUUCCCCUUUCAAUUAAUUGAUUUUUUAUUGAUUGCUUUUUCACAAAAUUAAAUCUGUGUUAAAUAUUGCGAAAUAGCGGUAGGCCAUUUUAAAGCAUGCUAGGAUCUUACCAAACGAUCACAUCGACGAAAUUUUCGUUCAUUAUUGAUGAUGCAGUUGCAUCCGUUCCUUGACCGUGAGCGGAGAAACCUAAGAUUAACUUGUUUUGUUUGAUUUAAUAGUUUGUCAAAUGGAAGACUAAAUCGUUUAAAAUCUAUUCCUGAACAUAAAAACGUUUAUGCCUGUUCUUUAGGCGACAGGUUAAAUAAAUUUUCGUGUUUUUCUAAUUGUGUUUGUUCUACCAGAAAAUGACUUUUCUAAAUUUAAAUGAGAAAUAUUUUAAAACAAAAUAAUGUCUUGGGUGUGCUAGGAGAGUUGACACAUACAUAUCCACUACUCUUCGCCAUCCAAAAAAUAAUAUUCAAGGACGUCUUGGAUAAGUUAAUUAUAUUAAAGGACUUUAAAAAUUAAAUUAAAAUUCUUUUUAAAAGACCAAAUAUAUUACUGAAGCUUUUAAAAGUUAUCGAUAAUUCUUUUGAAAGGUACUGGUUGUAAUUUUGAGAGCAUAAGUCAUAAUUUUAGUCUUCUACAGGAAUUUUGGUUCCAAAAGUCUUUAACUGUUGUUAAUAUUUCAUAUAGAUCCUUUAAGUGUCAUUUUUUCAAAAAUAUAUCUCUUUAAAAAAAUGAAAAAUUGUGGAUGUUAGUGCUGAAUUAAUUUCAGCUGUGAAUUAGUAGUUGCUUUUGAUUUUUCUUUUUAAAAGUACAACUCAGAGCAUAAUAGGAAGAGGGAACGACGAGCUUGAUUAGCUGCAAGUAUUCCACCUCCUUAUGCUGAGCAAUUAAUAUUAGUUUUGGUCGAAUGGAAAAGAGAGGAGGUGACGGAUGUACUUCUUAGUUGCCUCAAUAUGUUAUUCUUCCCUUUUGUUCCAGUUGCUUUUGAAUUUUUAGCACAGUAUGCUUGCACAAUCUCAUCCUCUACUCUGGAAAUUCGUAUCUCCGUGAAAUGUGUCACAUUAGAUUUCUUGCAUUUGUGUCAACUGAGGUAACACCUUAAAAUAGCUCUAGUCCCAUUUUCAAGGUCACAUUUAGUAUUGCAUUCCACUCAACUGUGGUGUUGUUAUCAUAUGAACGUAAUCUCCUUUAUUGCUAAGUUCUGAUGCUAAACGAGUUGGUGGGCUUCCCGGUUUCCAGUCUUUGAUGAGAUAUUAUAUUCAUUCUGCUACAACUGCAAUAAUGAUUCACCUUGUCAUUAUUAACCCAAAAACACCACUUUGUUUUGUUGUUAUGCAAAUUGAACUCUUCAUUCAAAAUCUUAUUGACCUGUUGAAUCAAUGGUGGUAUUAUCAUAUUUUUACUAAAACUAGGUGGGCUUCCCAUGUAUUGAAUGGAAUCUGAGGAAUAAGUUGUACUGUUUAUAUAACUUUUGAAUAGUGCAAUACUGCAAUUUCUAAUUUAUAUUUCGUAUUAAUAUUUGUAUUGAUAUGUUAGAUAUAUAUAUUUUUUAUCAAAGGAAAACGUAGGUCUAAAUAAAAUUUCUCAUGCUGUCAUGUACCAAAAGAAUUUUAGCCAGGUCCAAGUACUAAAAACUUUCUCAGAAAAGAUUUAUCCAAAAAAAAAAAAAUUGAAAGAGUGAAUAUGUUGAAAACUACCUGAUUCACUUUAUCCAGAAAUCAAACACUAGUUUGA